rnacentral:lncRNA from 1 species
UUGGACGUGCUGGUGUAAACGGUAUAUCAAAUGAGCAGCGAAAACGGUUGACUAUUGCGGUAGAGCUUGUUUCAAAUCCAUCCAUAAUAUUCAUGGACGAACCCACGUCUGGAUUAGAUGCCAGAGCAGCUGCAAUUGUCAUGCGAGUAGUGAAGAAUGUUGUUAAUACAGGAAGGACGGUUGUCUGCACCAUUCAUCAGCCAAGUAUUGAUAUAUUUGAGGCUUUUGACGAGGUAUCUACCUACGCAAACUAUAUAUGUAAACCUGAAAUUCCUGUAAACGCCCAGAGAUUUAUUCUUCCUACAUUUCUAAGAUGUUUUUAAUGUUUCCUGCAGCUUAUUCUAAUGAAGAGAGGAGGACAAAUAACAUAUUCUGGAGAGUUGGGUCAGCAUUCGAGUAAACUGAUCGAGUAUUUUGAGGUAACCUGAAAUUCAAACUAUAAGCCAAAUCAUGACCAUGAACCACAUUUUAUUUCCCAUUUGUUUUUUUGUUAGAACAUUCCUGGAGUACCAAAAAUCCAAGAAAGUUACAACCCGGCAACAUGGAUGUUAAACGUUUCGAGUUCAUCUAUGGAAGAACAACUCAAAAUAGACUUUGGCCAAAUCUACAGAGAGUCUCAGCUAUGCAGGUAAGCAUAAGAAUAUUGUACUAGCUCACAAAGUGAUGCCAUUUUCACAUUUUAAUUGGUACAUAAUUAUUUGGACUUGUGGCACUACUAAGAAUACUACAUAAAUCCAUUCUCCUUCUGAACUUAUACAUGAGUUAAUUUACAAUGUACACUUGACAGAUAAAAUGAAUCCGGUUAGGGUGAAGUUGGCACCAAUUUCACCGUAUUAAGUUCUAUAGCUUCUUAUUACACUGGUUAUAAAAAAUGUUGCAUUAAUAAAUUCUAUAGCUUUUCAUUGCAUUUGUUAAUACAACAAUUUCUAUAACCAAUGCAAUGAAAAUGUAUAUUAAUUUACUAUAGUGAAGUUGGUGCCAACUACACUAUAACCGGAUCCGAUAAAAUGAGGUGACUUGAUUUCUUCCUUAUAUAGGGAAACAAAGGAACGAGUCAGAGAACUUCGCUCUCCACCAGAUGGUUCAGACGAACUACAUUUUUUGACACGUUUUCCUCAAAAUGGAUGGGAACAGUUCAAAGCAUGCAUCUGGAAACAAAAUUUGUCCUAUUGGAGGAAUCCUAACUAUAAUUUGGGGCGCUUAAUAUUUAUCAUCAUGACAUCUUUGUUGUUAGGAGCAAUUCUUUGGCGCAGAGGACAAAAAAUGUACAAAUAAGUAUAUGAUCUUUUCUUAAUAUCUAUUUUCUUUUUUAAUAUUAAGUGCACUAGGCUUUUCUUUAGCUUACAAACUGUAGCAUGAAUCAACAAAUGAAUUCCAUGAAAUUACUUUAUUCCCCAUUCAUCAACCAAACACAAUUACUCUUCAUUUAAACUGCAACAUGAGAAGGCCUCUGCCUAGGAUUACCUACCAUCUAGACUACAACCUGAGAAUUAAGUCCUUUGUUUUCCAGUACUCAUUAUGUAUAUAUCAUUUUAUUAUUACAUAUAUCUCUUUUUUUUGGUAAACACACGAUUUAUUUGUCUAAUGUCUAAAUAUCUAAUAUGCUUCUUGUGAUCCUUGUUUCGAAGACAUGGCGAACAUGACUUGUUGAACAUUGUUGGAGCAAUGUUCACGUUUAUGCAGUUUAUGGGAAUGAGCAACUGCAGUUCUGUUCAAUCACUUCAAUCUACUGAGCGCGCCAUUGUAUACCGUGAAAGAUUUUCUGGAAUGUACUCCUCAUGGGCUUAUUCAGCUGCAAAGGUACUGCAGAAAUAUUUAUAUGAAACAUAACUUGUGUUCCUAAACUAAGUUUAUAAGUCAAACGAUGGUUAAUAAUUUUUUCUCAUGUUGCAGCUGGUCAUUGAAAUUCCGUAUAUUUUCUUUCAAGCAAUUUUAUUCGUGAUAAUAACGUAUCCAGCAAUAGGUUUCUACUGGUCUGUAGGAAAAGUAUUUUGGUAUUUCUACACAAUACUUUGUACAAUGUUGUACUCCACCUACCUUGGCAUGUUUCUGGUAUCCAUGACCCCAUCUCUCACCGUGGCUUCUGUAGCAACAAGCUUCUUCAACACCAUGACCACUCUGUUCUCCGGAUUCCUCAUACCUGGACCAGUAAGCUAGCAAAUUUUGAUUCUCACAACUCUGUCAAUUGUUAUUUGCAGUUAAUAAUAUUAGGCACUUUAACUUUUCUUUUUUUAUUUAUUUUUCUUAUCUCCAUUAUCCAAUUUGAGACAAAAUUACACACAUUAUUUCCUUGAUCAGUUCAUAUUUUCCCUAUAUACAACUGGCCCCUUUUUGUUUCUUAUAGCAAAUACCAAAAUGGUGGACUUGGUGUUACUGGAUUUUGCCAGGAUCCUGGUCUUUAAGACUUCUUCUUACAUCACUGUAUGGAGAUAUAGACGAGGAGUUGGUGGUAUUUGAGGAAAGAAAAGCUAUCAAUGCCUACUUAGGAAGUUACUUUGGCUAUCAUCAUAACAAUCUAACUAUCUCAGCAUUGGUUCUUAUAGCUUUCUCACUUGUCUUUGCAUUUGGCUUUGCAUAUUUCACGGCAAAGCUGAACUUUCUGAGGAGAUAAAAAGUGUCAAAAUCUACAAACUUACAAGGAGAUCGUGGAAUGAUGAAACCAUCACCUAACAGUGAUUAGCGAGACAUUGUGUUCACUGAUGACUUUGUUAUACAUGUACAUUUUAUGUUUUAGGUGAAUAGUAUUUCAAGUACUCUUUAACAUUUAUAAGGAUGCAAUGAUGGUUAAUUAGCUCAUUAUGCCUGUGAUCGUCAGUCAGACGUUGGCUCUGUAAAGGAUAGAUUAAACCAUUAAGGUUUUGUUUUGUUUUGUUUUUCAAGGCUUGCAAUAUUUAUAUAUAGUGUUGGAUUGUUAGUAGCAUGGUAUACAAGAAUCCUAUAAAUGUAUGAUCCCAUGCAAUGUAAAUCUUGGAUGACAACAAUCAUUAUAUCAGUUCAACUGAUUUUUAAAAAUCUUGAUUAGUUGAAUGAACGGAGGAAAUAGGGUAAAAUUUUAUCCAAUGAACAUAAUUGACACAAAUCGACCACUUCAAGGAACCCAAUUGAUAAAAAAUGAACUUUAAGAAUGAUUGUGACGCGCAUGACAACUUGGAGUAGAAGUACCAUUAAGACAUGUAAAAACUCAACAGGGGAAGAUGGUGUAAUUUACUUGAACUCAAAGAAUCAUUAUUUCUACCUUUUUUUAUAUAAGUAACAUUAUAUUUCUUACUAUUUUUUUUCUCACUACAUGUGUAUACUAUGGAGAAUGGUUAAAAACCCAAAUUCCUUGGUGUAUCAGAAUUUGAAAGCUAAGUAUUUUAAUUUGAGCACUUUUCUGGAGGCAGAGUUACGCCUUGUGUUGUGGAGGAGUUUUGUUUAGACACGGGUUCUUUGUUGGAGUAAAAGUGAGUCCGUCCAUUGGGCCGGGUUCCUUCCGGUUGUUAAUGCAACAUAAAGUGUUCUCUCCCUGUUAACUUGAGAGAUUGAUUGACAAAGAUUUGUUCUCUGUUCUAAGUUUUAAUGAAAUUUCCUUUUUACCUAAAAAGAUCGUUGAUGAUUUGGAUUUGAUGUGACAACUUGAGUUUAGUUUAUUAAGUUGAUACAUUGGUUAAUGAAUUGAGUCUCGUGCUAUGAUUUAUUAAGCAACCUAAUGUCAUGGCUACAAUCUAAGGUACAAAUGAAAAAGUCGACCCAAAUAUUCGCAAUAUAUAUUAUUUAAAAAAAAGAAAAAAAAUAAAGCUAAUUCAUACCUUUCAAUGAUUCAUACUCACUUCUCUCCCUUCUCUGCUCCCACCAGAAAUGUGUUUAUUCCUCUCUGUUAUCUUUGUUCUGCAUAAAUAUACAUAUCCAUAUGCAACAACCACGUAACUGAUAUGAUCCAAACAUCUCUAGAUAUGAUAUAAGAUGCUAGGAGAGCCUUAAUCGAAAAAUAAAUUAGAAACAAACCAACCCAAUCGCAACAUUUAUAAAAUAAAUUAGAUCUAGGCUAGAUCAAGUGUAACGAUGAAAACUUUCACCUUGGGAGUGAUAGAUUCCUCCUCCUUGAGCUUUGAAAUAGAAGGCUCGACUCUUGAUUUGAUGACAAAAACUAGAUCUAGAUGGGAUUUAGAGGGGUUUUUCUUAACCUUUCUCUAUUUGUCUCUCUAAAAUCCUCCUCCUCCUCUUCCAAAAGAAGCACAUGAACAGCUUUAGCCAAAACAUUGGAUUUGCAAGAGCAACUUUCUGAGAUCAGUCGUGCCUUGGCUGUUCUAGAAUCAGCAUCUGUAAGGACUGGGCAUAAUUUAACUAAAUUGGUCUGUUAACUAAAUCAUUGUUUAUGAUCAAUCUAAUUAUUUUUUUAAAAAGCAAAAAAUUUAUCCAAU